rnacentral:sRNA from 1 species
GUGCUGCCUUCAGCGCUGUCUCGUCAGCCACAGAGCAGGUACAGCACGGGCAGCAGCAGUGCAAGUGUCCACCAUUUUGCUCUGUUCCUCGGUGCUUCAUCCCUGCCUGGCGGGGACAGAGUUAGGUUCAGCUGUCUGCCCCUGCAGCCCUUGGCCUCU